AUGAGUGUCACCAGCUGUGGCUUUGACCUCAAAGAUACCCUCCUCAAUGGUGAGAAGAGAGACAUCAAAGGUACCACCUCCAAGGUCAAAGAUGAGGACGUUCUUCUCACCAACACUGGAAGCCUUCUUGUCAAGACCAUAAGCAAUGGCAGCGGCUGUUGGCUCAUUGAUGAUACGGAGGACAUUGAUGCCAGCAAUGACACCAGCAUCCUUGGUAGCCUGCCUCUGCGAGUCAUUGAAGUAUGCAGGUACAGUGACAACAGCAUUCUUCACAGUGGUGCCAAGGAAAGCUUCCGCAAUCUCACGCAUCUUGAUGAGGACCAUAGAAGAUAUCUCCUCAGCUGCAAACUGCUUCUCCUCACCCUUGUACUGGACAUUGAUCAUGGGCUUGUCACCAGGUCCAGCAACAACCUUGAAGGGCCACAGCUUAAUAUCACUCUGGACAGUAGAAUCAGUGAAUCUACGGCCAAUGAGACGCUUGGCAUCUGCACAAAACAGUUCAUGUCAAAAAGUUAA
rnacentral:rRNA from 1 species